UGGGGAAUAUUGGGCAAUGGGCGAAAGCCUGACCCAGCAACGCCGCGUGAGGGAAGAAGGUUUUCGGAUUGUAAACCUCUGUCCUUGGGGACGAAGAAAGUGACGGUACCCAAGGAGGAAGCCCCGGCUAACUACGUGCCAGCAGCCGCGGUAAUACGUAGGGGGCAAGCGUUGUCCGGAAUUACUGGGCGUAAAGGGUGCGUAGGCGGUUUGUUAAGUCAGAUGUGAAAUCCCCGGGCUUAACUCGGGUGUUGCAUUUGAAACUGGGGAACUAGAGUGCAGGAGAGGGAAGCGGAAUGCCUAGUGUAGCGGUGAAAUGCGUAGAUAUUAGGAGGAACACCAGUGGCGAAGGCGGCUUUCUGGACUGUAACUGACGCUGAGGCACGAAAGCGUGGGGAGCAAACAG
rnacentral:rRNA from 1 species